CUACGGGUUGCUCCAGUGGGGAAUAUUGGACAAUGGGGGCAACCCUGAUCCAGCAAUGCCGCGUGUGUGAAGAAGGCCUGCGGGUUGUAAAGCACUUUCAGUUGGGAAGAUGAUGACGGUACCAACAGAAGAAGCACCGGCUAACUCCGUGCCAGCAGCCGCGGUAAUACGGAGGGUGCAAGCGUUAAUCGGAAUUACUGGGCGUAAAGCGCACGUAGGCGGUUUGAUAAGUUGGGUGUGAAAGCCCCGGGCUUAACCUGGGAACGGCAUUCAAAACUGUCAGACUGGAGUACAAUAGAGGGGGGCGGAAUUCCAGGUGUAGCGGUGAAAUGCGUAGAUAUCUGGAAGAACACCAGUGGCGAAGGCGGCCCUCUGGAUUGAUACUGACGCUGAGGUGCGAAAGCGUGGGUAGCGAACAGGAUUAGAUACCCCCGUAGUC
rnacentral:rRNA from 1 species